AUACCUUAAUUGGCCUUUUGGCUAAGAUCAAGUGUAGUGUUUGUUCUUAUUAGUUUAAUAUUUGAUAUGGGUUAUCGAUUCACAUAAUAUUAACUUAAUUUUUAAGGGUAGAGUCUGUUAAAGUAGCUUGCUAUCUGGGCUUUUGAGUGUAGCUCAUGCGUUGCACUACAAAGACGUGCAGUAGCUCAUGUGUU